rnacentral:tRNA from 1 species
UCCCUGGUGGUCCAGUGUUUAAGACUCCGAGCUCCCAAUUCAGGGGGCCCAGGUUCGAUCCCUGAUUGGGGAA